ensembl:lncRNA
GUUGUGUAUUAUAAUUUUUAAAGAUUAUAACUAUUAAAGUAAGUCUGCAUCCCUCAGUGACACAGCAGUGAGAGCAAUGAGUGAUAAGCAGAGUCAGUGAUGUAUGAUUUGUGAUUGACAGUAGAAGACAUCUAGGAAUGUAAUAUGUCCUAAAGGGGGUUCACCAGCAUCUGAUCUAUCAAACAUCUUUAAGUCCAUGGCGUUCACCUACUAUUAUUGUUAAGCAUCAGAAUAUAAAAUAAUUUAGUUGCACAGAUUGUGUUAGUAAAAUUACCAAGCAACAUUUGCAAAGAUACAGGGAUGGAUUUAUUUAUUUUUAAUUUUUAAUCUUGACCUUUAGCAUUUAGUUAUACAGGUGACAAAAAUCUAUCUAAAUACAUGUAUUUAGGAAGUAACUGUUCUAAGCUUAUACAACAGUGAGAACAUACAAAAUAAACUACUUAUUUAUUUUCUAUGUGCAAUACACACUAUAGUACUAUGGAGAAAAAAUAUGAAGUAGACAUAAGCCCUUCCUUAGAGCGUCACCCUACAAUCAAAACAACUCACAGUCCAGCAUUAUUCCAGUGCACUUUGCUCUCUUGCACAUUGUUCAUUAUGUAUCGUGAAAACAUUCAUUCACCUUUUUUUGGUUCCUUUUUCAGGGUUUCUUUUUUUAAGUUUGCUUAAUCUUCCAUUUGAAGUAAAAGUUUUGUGAAAUUUUUCAAUAGGAUUUACAUGCAGAAUGAUCAUAGCUUGAGCUUCCAGAGGAAAGUUAUUGUUUUGUUUUCUUUCAGGUUUUGCCAAGUUAAACAAGGGUAUCAGAGAAUUUCUUUGUGUUCAUUGAAUUCAAACCACCAAGAGGAAGUUUUUAUUACAAAACUUCUCUUAGAAUAAAGCACUCCCUUUUAUCAGUUUUAUACCUUUGCUAUUAGAUCAAAUUAAGUAUGAAGGAAACAUAAGACUUACAUAACAAAUUAAACUUUUUGUUAAAGGUACAAUGCAAAAGGCAAGUCUUCUAACAUCAAUUCGGUUCAAUGUCAUCUUCGUGGUAAGGCCCUUCCUCAAAUUCCACAAGGAACUGAAUUACUUCGAACACCUCUUCCAGCUGUGCAUUACAGAUAACGUCAGGAAAAGUCUCUGCUUCACAGGUAAGAUGAAUGUUUCUAGGCUUUUCUUAUACUUAUCUUUGCAUUAUAGUCAAGCGAUUGAAUUUACAUGUUCGUCUUCUUUAAAUAAACAACUUUGCAUUAAAGGAUAUUCAAUUUCAUUCUUGCUACUGGCACAACUAACACUGUAGCAGAUGCCUGUAUUCUCUGAGCAGCAGACAUUUAGUCUAACAGCUGGCUGUAGAGAAGAACAGAUAUAAUAUUCCACUAUUCGUUUUACAACAUGCAGUUUGUUGUUAGAAACUAAAUAUGUGUGCUUUCUGAAGGAAGGAUCACUUUCAAAUGUGAAUGUUGAAUUGCAAAUACAAGCAGUAUAUUGAAUAAUUUUUUUGCAUUUUGUAUGCUACUUAUAGGAUUUUCUGACUUAAAAUACGUAUUUGCAGAAAAUAUGUCAACGAGUAUCUUUUGACCUCUUUACCACUGUAUCAGAUAUUGUCUGUAGAGAAUCACUUUUCAAAUUUGUGUGUGUUUCUGAAAAGAUUAGAAACUGUUUCCCAGCAUGUUUUGAAAAGUAUAAAAUGCAUGUAGAACUUUAAAAAUACCAAGAGUUUAUCACUAAAAGAUUAUUUACUAUUUUCUCCAGAUGCUACACCUGGUGAAAUAAACCUUAUUCUUUCUUGGUAAUUUAUGAAUAGGUACUUUUAGUGUUUGUGGAAGCUAAUCCACAAGUUGAAGACUCCAAUUACAAUCUGCUUCUUUAUAACCUCAGCUCACAAAGCUGUUUAAAAUCAAACUAUUUCCCUAUAGAAAAAUAAAGUCUUCUAACUUUUCCUUUCCAUAGAAACACAAUAUGUUGUUUGGUCUCUUCGGUUGCCUUUCAGAAACUUUCUACUAUGUGUUUUCAAUAAAACAUUAUGUUUUCAGGGAAUGAAAGUUUACUUUCAGGAUUAUUGAUUGGGUUCUGGAAUGUUUUAUCUGAUUGUGAAUUUUAACUUGAUUCAGUUACUGUUCACAUUUCAAACAAAGAAAAAUGAAAACUGAUGACUAUUUUGAAAAGUUGAAUAGUCGUAAGAGUCACAAGAUGUGGUGUUGAUAUUUCAAUUUAGUUUAUACAAAUUUAAAGUAUAAUAUUUAAAGGAAGGAAACAAAAUUCGAUGUCAUUAGAGCUAUAAAUGUUUACCUUGUAUAACUGUCACUUAAAAGUUAAAAUCUUUUUAAGAAUUGCUGUUUCAGAUGCAUUUCUUAAUGUUUAAGGAAUUGGAAUACAUGAUGUUAUUCUGAACCAUCCUUUAUUUUAAACCAAAUUUGAGCUAUUAUCAAAAAGUUUAAUAUAGUACAGAUUGUUUCAGAUUUCAUCAUGUGUGACUUUAAGCCUUAUAAUAAAGGAGAUCAGCUGCCUCAUUAAGUGAUGACAUUCAGUGCCCUAAAGACUGUUUCAAAACCUCAUUAGGAAGUCAUUAGCUAUAAGUUUAUAUGAAGUAUUGUUUAUUCUUUUACAAUAGCCUGAAAUGUGUAUUAAAGAUUAAUCUUUCUUUUUUAGUUUUUAUGAUUUCAACCUCAUCUAUAACAUAAUUAAGAAGCAAGAAAUAUAUUGCUUCUAGAAAUUCAAUAUUAAAUAUGAUGAUUUAAGUGAAAUUUCAAUGAUCACUCUUAAGUGUAUGUAUCUGAUACUAUUAUGCUUAUACAAACUGCCCUAGAUUGAAUAGUUAAAACAGAAUUCUUAUAGUACUGUA